AUCUUAGCAUUUGCAACAAUAGCUCGUAACCUGGUCAGGUUCGGAAGGAAGCAGCCACAGCGUGUGUUUUGUGUGCAAAAUUUAGCCAGGGUCUC
rnacentral:SRP_RNA from 1 species